rnacentral:rRNA from 1 species
AUGAACGCUAGCGACAGGCCUAACACAUGCAAGUCAGGGGCAGCACAAGGAGCAAUCUGAGGUGGCGACCGGCGCACGGGUGAGUAACACGUAUGCAACCUGCCUGUAAGCGGGGAAUAACCCGUUGGAAGACGGACUAAUACCGCAUAAUACUAAAUUACUGCAUGGUAAUUUAUUUAAACAUUUAUGGCUUACAGAUGGGCAUGCGCAUGAUUAGCUAGUUGGAGAGGUAACGGCUCCCCAAGGCAACGAUCAUUAGGGGUUCUGAGAGGAAGGUCCCCCACACUGGUACUGAGACACGGACCAGACUCCUACGGGAGGCAGCAGUGAGGAAUAUUGGUCAAUGGACGAGAGUCUGAACCAGCCAAGUCGCGUGCAGGAAGAAUGUCCUAUGGAUUGUAAACUGCUUUUGCAGGGGAAUAAAGUGCAUCACGUGUGAUGUUUUGUAUGUACUCUGCGAAUAAGGAUCGGCUAACUCCGUGCCAGCAGCUGC